rnacentral:rRNA from 1 species
AGAGCGAACGCUGGCGGCAGGCCUAACACAUGCAAGUCGAGCGCCCGUAGCAAUACGGGAGCGGCAGACGGGAUAGUAACACGUGGGAACGCGCCCUUCGGUUCGGAAUAACUCAGGGAAACUUGAGCUAAUACCGGAUACGCCCUUACGGGGAAAGAUUUAUUGCCGAAGGAACGGCCCGCGUCCGAUUAGCUAGUUGGUGAGGUAAUGGCUCACCAAGGCGACGAUCGGUAGCUGGUCUGAGAGGAUGACCAGCAUCACUGGGACUGAGACACGGCCCAGACUCCUACGGGAGGCAGCAGUGGGGAAUAUUGGACAAUGGGCGCAAGCCUGAUCCAGCCAUGCCGCGUGGAUGAUGAAGGCCUUAGGGUGUAAAGUCCUUUUAACGGGAAGAUAAUGACGGUACCGUAGAAUAAGCCCGGCUAACUUCGCGCACGCAGCCGC